rnacentral:rRNA from 1 species
AUGAAGAAAAACUUGAGUUGGGAGUUUCUAUCCCUAGAAAACUUUAUGAUGAAUGGGAACCUACAAUUAAAAAUUAAAAUUAAAGAUCAUGAAUUCUAUGCUUUGUGUGAUUUGGGUGCUAGUGUUUCCACGAUUCCAAAAACUCUAUGUGAUUUGUUAGGUUUCCGUGAAUUUGAUGAUUGUUCUCUAAACUUGCACCUUGCGGAUUCCACCAUUAAGAAACAUAUGGGAAGAAUUAAUGAUGUUCUUAUUUUUGCAAAUAGGAACUAUGUGCCCGUAGAUUUUAUUGUUCUUGACAUAGAUUGCAAUCCUUCAUGUCCUAUUAUUCUUGGUAGACCUUUCCUUAGAACGAUUGGUGCAAUUAUUGAUAUGAAGGAAGGCAAUAUUAGAUUCCAAUUUCCGUUAAGGAAAGGCAUGGAACACUUUCCUAGAAAGAAAAUAAAAUUACCUUAUGAAUCUAUUAUGAGAGCCACUUAUGGAUUGCCUACCAAAGAUGGCAAUACAUAG